rnacentral:snoRNA from 1 species
GCCUCUGUGUCUAUCCCUUUAUCAAGACCACACUGUCUGUCCUUGGACACGUAAGAAUUGGAGGCAAAAAGAUGUGGACUUGGAGAAGUCUGGAGCCCGCUUGCUCCCCGCAGGCUCAAAAUCAUCCUUUCUCACACAG